rnacentral:rRNA from 1 species
UCCCAGACUCCUACGGGAGGCAGCAGUGGGGAAUAUUGCACAAUGGGGGGAACCCUGAUGCAGCGACGCCGCGUGGGUGAAGAAGUCAUUCGUGACGUAAAGCCCUAUCAGCAGGGAAGAAAAUGACGGUACCUGACUAAGAAGCCCCGGCUAACUACGUGCCAGCAGCCGCGGUAAUACGUAGGGGGCAAGCGUUAUCCGGAUUUACUGGGUGUAAAGGGAGCGUAGGCGGCAGUGCAAGUCAGAAGUGAAAGCCCGGGGCUCAACUCCGGGACUGCUCUGGAAACUGCGGCGCUGGAGUACGGGAGGGGCAGGCGGAAUUCCUGGUGUAGCGGUGAAAUGCGUAGAUAUCAGGAGGAACACCGGCGGCGGAGGCGGCCUGCUGGACCGUGACUGACGUUGAGGCUCGAGAGCGUGGGGAGCAAACAGGAUUAGAUACCCUUGUAUCG